CCUAAACAUAAGAAAAUUAUCGGAAAAUAUCGUCCUAUUGUAUUCGUGAGCAUUUUAUUACAAAGUUUAGAGGGAGGGGACUUCAAAACUUCGGUGCAAGGGGCGGGUAAAAUGUCCUAGGUAGCCCCAUAUAUGCACAUAGUUCAAUGAUUUUGAAUAAUGAAAGAUAAUUAUCAGCUGUCAUUGGUUUUAUGAUCAAAUAAUAUUUAUCUGCACUUAUAAGCGUGAAGUAUUAAUAUAGAUUGCUAUAAAAUGACGAGUUCAAUAUUGAAUUAGUGUUAGUUGAUUGUGUAACUUAACCCAACCACAUGUCCUUAAUAUCGUUCAAUAAUACUAAAAAUUAUUGUCAGUUAGCAACUUUCACAGCCUUUUCGAACACAGGCUAAAAGAAAGUUUAAUCGAACAUCAGAAUCUGUCAUCAAAUGCAGGGGGAGAGAAUGCAGAUCUUAUCUUCCUAAUUCACUAACCAUACAUACCUCAAUCAAGUAGAAAGCCAAGCCUUCUACUCAAAUGCAGUUUGAAGUGUUAUUUUGUAAUACACACACACACACACACACACACACACAUAUGUGUAUCA
rnacentral:lncRNA from 1 species